UCCCUGGUGGCUCAGACGGUAGAGCGUCUGUCUAUAAUGCGGGAGACCUGGGUUCGAUCCCUGGGUCGGGAA
rnacentral:tRNA from 1 species